rnacentral:piRNA from 1 species
UGCAUCUAUGAAAAUUAGUGGAGAUUAUGAC